GCUGUUAUUUACAAAAUUACCAGACGUCACUGUUCUAUCUUGCCGGUACAUCAUAUAACCAGCCAGCUGUAUGCUGAUAUUGCGAUAUUUGAUCCCCUCCGAAUUCUCAGAAGGCAGCCCGCUCUCCAGCCUCUCUUUCUCCGUCUCCUUUUCACGCAGUUCACGGGGGUCGGGGCCUGUUACCAAGGGAGCUGUAUAUCCUCCGCCUCAGGCUCGUCAGUCGUGAAAGAAGAAAACGGACUCUGCUAGUCCGUGGUUUGGCCACAGGAUCCAGAUAAACAAAGAAGACCUCCAUCACCCGGUCCUUGCUAACAGGCAGGGGCACACUGAGGUAGCAGAAGGGGUCAAAGGUGACCGACACUUUGCGGCACUCGGGGCAAACCAGGGUGGACUUGAACAGCCCGUGGAAGGUGUCAACAAUCACAGAGUUGUUACGUCGCUGGUGGUUAUGCCACGCUUCCUCUGCCACUUCCUGAAAGUUGUUAAAGGCUUGUUACCUGGUCAGGCCUACCAUCGGCAUCCCUCAGCUCAAUGUACUCCUUGUUCUUGACCCGGUUGAGAUCCUCAUGAAGCCCAUCCAGCAGGAAGGAGAGCAGCUCCUGGGAGUCAUGCUGCUGGUAGCCAAG